rnacentral:rRNA from 1 species
GUCUAUAGCCAUGCUACCCUGAACAAGCCCAAUCCCGUCUGAUCUCGGAAGCUAAGCAGGGUCAGGCCUGGUUAGUACUUGGAUGGGAGACCACCUAGGAAGACCAGGUGCUGUAGGUG